rnacentral:rRNA from 1 species
ACGUCCCUGCCCUUUGUACACACCGCCCGUCGCUACUACCGAUUGAAUGGCUUAGUGAGACUCUCGGAUUAGGGCUAAGGGAUCGGAAACGGUUCCUUUUUCUCGAGAAGUUUGUCAAACUUGGUCAUUUAGAGGAAGUAAAAGUCGUAACAAGGUUUCCGUAGGUGAACCUGCGGAAGGAUCAUUACAGGGUUUCAAUGCCGCGCCCGCUCUCCGGCGGCCGGCAAUAACCACGAUCAUAUACCACUGUGUGCACUCAUUGAACUAUGGCCUCCCUCUGGGGCCUUGCCCCGGACGGGGGGUUUAUAUUUCCAAAACCCCAGCCUUACCGUCCGUCUGAUCUUUUUUGAUUACAAAAAAACAAAAAUACAACUUUCAACAACGGAUCUCUUGGCUCUUGCAUCGAUGAAGAACGCAGCGAAAUGCGAUAAGUAAUGUGAAUUGCAGAAUUCCGUGAAUCAUUAAAUCUUUGAACGCAAAUUGCACUUCUUGGUAUUCCGAGGAGUAUGCUUGCUUGAGGGUUGGUCUACAAAAAAUCGCAAAAUUUAUUUUUUCGCGGAUCUGGGUUUUCCAAAAAUGGUAACCUUAAAUUUAUCUUAACAAUUUUAGGUAUUAAAAUUAGAAAUGGUUUUAUCUUGCAUAUUGUAAGUUGUUCAUUGAUAAUUAUACCAAUUGUUACAUCGCGUUAUUCGCCCGAUCUUUUUUUUUGAUUAGGUGAAAUAAUUCAAUAUAUUUUUAAUCCUACCUCAAGUCAAGUAAGAAUACCCGCUGAACUUAAGCAUAUCAAUAAGCGGAGGAAAAGAAACUAACUAGGAUUCCCUUAGUAACGGCGAGUGAACUGGGAAAAGCUCAAAUUUUAAAUCACCCCGGUGAAUUGUAAUUUGAAGAAAGUGAUUUGACUUUUCAGUUUAAUCUAAAUCCUUUGGGAUGAGGUAUCAUAGAGGGUGAGAAUCCCGUUCUUGAUUAAACCUCGGAUUGCACUAAUUCACUUUCUAAGAGUCGAGUUGUUUGGGAUUGCAGCUCCAAAUGGGUGGUAAAUUUCACCUAAGGCUAAAUAUAUGCAAGAGACCGAUAGCGAACAAGUACCGUGAGGGAAAGAUGAAAAGAACUUUGAAAAGAGAGUUAAAUAGUACGUGAAAUUGUUGAAAGGGAAACGAUUGAAGUCAGUCAUGCUAAUGAGGAAUCAACUUGGUGGUUUACUUCCUUGUGCAUUUUCUCGCUUGGCAGGUUAGCAUCAAUUUUGGUUGUCAUCAAAGAAUUAGGGGAAUGUGGCUUUUCUUCGGUAAAGUGUUAUAGACUCUGAUUGAUGUGGCGACUGGGAUUGAGGUUUGCAGCGAAUGCCUUUUUGGGCUAGUCACCUGUCUUCUGACCGUCACCUCGCUUUUGACAGCUUGCUGAUGAUCGCGGGAUUUGGCGACCUAGGAGUUAGAGUGAACAUAAAUUCGCUAAGGAAGCUGACGUAAUGGCUUUAAACGACCCGUCUUGAAACACGG